GUUGCCGUGAAACGAAUCUAAGUUCCCCCCUGAUUCCUCUCCACGGACCCACUCUAACCCCAACGUAGUGAAUCAAGAGCCAUUCAAAGGAGGUACAGCUCCUUUGAAAGAGAACACAACCUCAUGCAGCGGAUAACCACAACCUUCCCCCCUUCCUCGUGGGCCUUCAAGCAGCCACCCACAAAGAGUGCGUCAAAGCUCCCUACCCAAAGAUCUAAAAACAACACGACUCCCUCCCCCCUAACGGGCCAACCUAUUACAAUAGGAGAAUCAAUGCUAAAAUGAGUAACUAGGGGAUCCCCUCUCAGGCGCAAACUUACAUCCUCACAUUAUUAACCGGACCCGACUAAUGCACUAACCCAACAAGCCAGCACAUUAACACCCUCCUCCCCGUUACCCCAACCCAGGAGCGCCCACCAGAAAGACUAAAAUCUGCAAAAGGAACUAGGCAAACCCAAGACCCGACUGUUUACCAAAAACAUAGCCUUCAGCACACCAAGUAUUGAAGGUGAUGCCUGCCCAGUGACCCCAGUUAAACGGCCGCGGUAUCCUA
rnacentral:rRNA from 1 species